ACGUAGGGGGCAAGCGUUGUCCGGAUUCAUUGGGCGUAAAGAGCGUGUAGGCGGCCAGGUAGGUCGGUUGUGAAAACUGGAGGCUCAACCUUCAGAGGUCGACCGAAACCAUCUGGCUAGAGUCCGGGAGAGGAGAGUGGAAUUCCUGGUGUAGCGGUGAAAUGCGCAGAUAUCAGGAAGAACACCCGUGGCGAAAGCGGCUCUCUGGAACGGUACUGACGCUGAGACGCGAAAGCGUGGGGAGCGAACAGGAUUAGAUACCCUGGUAGUCCACGCCGUAAACGAUGGGCGCUAGGUGUGGGAGGUGUCGACUCCUUCCGUGCCGAAGCUAACGCAUUAAGCGCCCCGCCUGGGGAGUACGGCCGCAAGGCUA
rnacentral:rRNA from 1 species